ACUAUAAGCCUGAAAUGACAUCAGAUAUGCCACAACCUUGUCAAACAACUACAGAGAACCUUACAUGUGCUGGUGGUUUUGCCAGCAUUAUAACAUGGCUGAUCUACAAAUCUCUUCAAAACCCAAAGUGUGUGUGCUAUUAGCCCAGGAGAAGAAAGUGUUUUAAAGAGGUCUGAAUUCUGGCCCCCGACGUCACCACUAGGAUCAGAAUCAAGGCGGUACUGAACUGGACAGUACGGCUCAUCUCACUUAACCAGCUAGAGCAAUUCAGAUAGAGCACCACUUUAUCUCUCCUAUUCCAGCCAUUGACAGCUCCCAGUUCUGUAUGUUUUUGGAGUUGGAAGCCGGCAGGAGAGGCUGUUUUUGUCCUGGCCUGCAGGGUACAAUGUGUGGUAGAUAAUCCAUCUGUUUUUGUGCUCUAUCACCUUGUUUUUGUUUGGUUAACACCUGACAUAACACUUUGGCCAUCACGCCACAAAUACCAGGAUCAAAGCCAGGCUCUCAGGGGAAAUCUGUAAAUCAUGACAACUUCUGCAUAUUCCACAGGAUUUAUGUCCUGCGAUACUACACCUAAUUUUUCUGGACUCCUAUGCCACCCUGCCGCUCGACUGCAGCCUGUGCUCCACUGCGGGAGACAAGUCCCUGGAUGUUGCUCAAGAAAAGAGCUUCCAUGAUGUCUCAUCCCAGGUGAAUCAGAAGUUCAAUUAAUUAUCGAGCAGCUCGGGCGGAACGGGGGCGGCACUGUUCCAGCACAUGUCAAAGCCAGACUGCUUUCUGGAGUCCCCUUUCACCUACACUGCUCUCUGCACAGCGCUCCCCAGCUCCUGUCCUUCCGCCCAGCAUCAUCCGGGCAGGAGCUCCAGCUUCUCCAGCAGCCUGAGAGACAGCGAACCGCUCUCUCCUCUCGCACAAACAGCUCCUCCUCCCCUCGUCCCCACUCGGCACAAUCGCUCCGUCUCCGCUCAGCCUCUCCCGCUAGUCCUCGGACUACGGGAACGGAUACUUCAGUGAGGGAACGGUGUCCAAGUCCCUCUAAAAAGGACACAGAGAGCCAACAUAGCCGGUGCGCCAGUAAUUCGCGACGUGCCGGAAACUGCCCCCAGCCAGACGCCCAGCAGCAGGGCAGGACCAAGCUCACGUCAGCUCGUGCCCAGCUGCACAGGAGCCUGCCGCGGGAAACAGGUGAACUCCCCGCAGACCUGCGCCGCCGCAGGGAGACUGGUGCACAGAGGGGGGAGACCGUUUCCGGACACGGCUCUUUCUGCAGGACGAACCGGACCCCCGGCUCCUCGCGGGCUGCGUGGGGGCUGCUGGGGAUGGUCAUUAUGCUGUUGCUGGAUUCAAAUAUGGGUUUUGCUCAAACAUUCUGCUUUUUCAAAGAAUGAAUUACUACAAUAACUUCUCCAUAUUGAUAUCUUCUAUUCCCUUAAGUACAUCAAAUUCCAAUAACACCUAUGGUUCUGCCAUUAAGUGACAAUUUUAUGCAGGAUGGGGCGUGCUUUAAUCGGAUAAAUUAGUGCUCUUGGAAGUGCUCUCUUUAAACCUUUUUACACUGAAUAAAAGGACCCUAAUAAAGUCACGAUGAUCACAUGAAAUUUCCGUUGUUUUCUUCUGAGAAAGAAAACAGAUUCAGGAAAAGCAUAUCCUGCCGAUCCAGUGCUUUUUUACUGACG
rnacentral:lncRNA from 1 species